UGGCUCAGGACGAACGCUGGCGGCGUGCUUAACACAUGCAAGUCGAACGGAUCAUCAGGUUUUCGGAUUUGGUGGUGAGUGGCGAACGGGUGAGUAACACGUGAGUAACCUGCCCCGGACUUUGGGAUAACGACUCGAAAGGGUUGCUAAUACCGGAUAUUGAACUGUUGCCGCAUGGUGGUGGUUUGAAAGUUUUUUCGGUUCGGGAUGGGCUCGCGGCCUAUCAGCUUGUUGGUGGGGUGAUGGCCUACCAAGGCUUCGACGGGUAGCCGGCCUGAGAGGGCGACCGGCCACACUGGGACUGAGAUACGGCCCAGACUCCUACGGGAGGCAGCAGUGGGGAAUAUUGCACAAUGGGCGAAAGCCUGAUGCAGCAACGCCGCGUGCGGGAUGACGGCCUUCGGGUUGUAAACCGCUUUCAGCUCUGACGAAUUUGACGGUAAGAGCAGAAGAAGCACCGGCUAACUACGUGCCAGCAGCCGCGGUGAUACGUAGGGUGCGAGCGUUGUCCGGAUUUAUUGGGCGUAAAGAGCUCGUAGGUGGUUGUUUGCGUCGGAAGUGAAAACCUAGCGCUUAACGCUGGGCUUGCUUUCGAUACGGGAUGACUUGAGGAAGGUAGGGGAGAACGGAAUUCCUGGUGGAGCGGUGGAAUGCGCAGAUAUCAGGAGGAACACCGGUGGCGAAGGCGGUUCUCUGGACCUUUCCUGACGCUGAGGAGCGAAAGCGUGGGGAGCAAACAGGCUUAGAUACCCUGGUAGUCCACGCCGUAAACGGUGGGCACUAGGUGUGGGGGACAUUCCACGUUCUCCGUGCCGUAGCUAACGCAUUAAGUGCCCCGCCUGGGGAGUACGGCCGCAAGGCUAAAACUCAAAGGAAUUGACGGGGGCCCGCACAAGCGGCGGAGCAUGCGGAUUAAUUCGAUGCAACGCGAAGAACCUUACCUGGGUUUGACAUGCACGUGACGCGUUCAGAGAUGGGCGUUCCUUCGGG
rnacentral:rRNA from 1 species